AGAGUUUGAUCCUGGCUCAGAUCAACGCUGGCGGCGCGCUUAACACAUGCAAGUCGCACGAGAAAAGGGGGCAACCCCUGAGUACAGUGGCGUACGGGUGAGUAACACGUGGGUCAUCCACCGUUUUGUGGGGAAUAACCCUGGGAAACCGGGGCUAAUACCGCAUAUGCCUGGGAAGGUAAAGCUCUGCAAGGAGCGCAAAACGAGGAGCCCGCGGCCGAUUACGCUGGUUGGUGAGGGUAACGGCCCACCAAGGCUCUGAUCGGUAGCCGGCCUGAGAGGGCACACGGCCACACUGGCACUGCAACACGGGCCAGACUCCUACGGGAGGCAGCAGUGGGGAAUCUUGCACAAUGGGCGAAAGCCUGAUGCAGCGACGCCGCGUGCGCGACGACGCCUUUCGGGGUGUAAAGCGCUUUCGGCUGGAACGAUCAUGACGGUACCAGCAGAAGAAGCUGCGGCUAACUACGUGCCAGCAGCCGCGGUAAUACGUAGGCAGCAAGCGUUGUUCGGAGUUACUGGGCGUAAAGAGUCUGUAGCGGCCCGGCCAGUCCGUUUGUCCAAUCUCCCGGCUUAACCGGGAGAAGCGGCGGAAACUGCCGGUGCUGGAGCGCGGGAGAGGAAAGCGGAAUUCCGGGUGUAGCGGUGAAAUGCGUAGAGAUCCGGAGGAACACCAGUGGUGAAGACGGCUUUCUGGACGUGGCUGACGCUGAGAGACGAAAGCGUGGGGAGCAAACAGGAUUAGAUACCCUAGUAGUCC
rnacentral:rRNA from 1 species